UCGUCAGGUAGGAUAAUCCUUACCUGUUCCUCCUUUUGGAGGGCAGAUUAGAACAUGACGAUGGAGUUAAAAAAAAAAAAAAGUAUGAGGCAGAGACUUCAGGUUUUGGACCACUACGUAAAGAGCCUGGAAAUACUACCCCAGUCCUAAGAACAAGAACAAAUCUGAA
ensembl:snoRNA U8 U8 small nucleolar RNA